GUCCACGCCGUAAACGUUGGGAACUAGGUGUGGGUCUCAUUCCACGAGAUCCGUGCCGCAGCUAACGCAUUAAGUUCCCCGCCUGGGGAGUACGGCCGCAAGGCUAAAACUCAAAGGAAUUGACGGGGGCCCGCACAAGCGGCGGAGCAUGUGGAUUAAUUCGAUGCAACGCGAAGAACCUUACCAAGGCUUGACAUACACCGGAAACAUCCAGAGAUGGGUGCCCCGCAAGGUCGGUGUACAGGUGGUGCAUGGUUGUCGU
rnacentral:rRNA from 1 species